rnacentral:lncRNA from 1 species
UGAAUCUUUUAAUAACUUCCUUAUAUACAUCUUGUUCCCUUAAAGCCCCAAACUUGGCUUUGUCAGCUCUCUUUCUUCAUCAUCUUUAGGAUAUGUUCAUGUGUGGAUGCGAUGGAACUGAGGUCACUAGGUUCAUGCUACCUGGAGCAUGAGGCUGACAAAUAGAGAAGCACUGAGUCAAAUGAAUCUUGGAAAAAUGGAGCUAGAAGAAAACCAGAGUCUAUCUGUUCUACUGGUUGUAUUCUCCUUGAAGGCAGAAAUGAUGUCUGAUUGAUUUCUGAGGAGCAUGAAAGAA